rnacentral:rRNA from 1 species
GACAGAGGGUGCAAGCGUUAAUCGGAAUUACUGGGCGUAAAGGGCUCGCAGGUGGUCGGCUAAGUCGGAUGUGAAAUCUCCGGGCUUAACCUGGAACGGUCAUUCGAGACUGGUCGACUAGAGUAUGGUAGAGGAUAGUGGAAUUUCCGGUGUAGCGGUGAAAUGCGUAGAUAUCGGAAGGAACACCAGUGGCGAAGGCG